AGGAUAAGAAUAUGUAAUAGUUUUACCUUUUGUAUCAGGGGAGUUUGAAGAUAAAAUAAUUUUACUAUCGAAUUAAUCAGAUUUUCUAUGGGUUUUAUUUAUUAAUAACAUCUAAUAGAUAAAGGCAGGUAUGAGGUAAAAGGUGUACGGUGGUUAGGAUACCUAAUUGUUUUUAUUAUAAAGGGAUAAGCUUUUUAAGGCUCUAAAAAGCUAUAUAAUAUAAAAAACUAGGCUUUAAAGUAGCUAAGUUACCAUAUUGUUUAAAAUGAUUUUUUUUUAUAAAUUAAAUUAAAUUUAUAAAAACUAUAUUAGUAACUAUUAGUUUAUAAAAACAAUGAAUUUAUUGAAUAAUGAAUGAAAUUGUAAAAGAACUCAAAAUAUUUUAGAUAGUUUAACAAAAACAUUUUUAUGUGAGGUAAACAAAGUAAUACCUGCCCAAUGAUAAUUAAAUGGCUGCAGUAUUUUAACUGUGCUAAGGUAGCAUAAUCAAUUGUUUCUUAAUUGGUAACUGGAAUGAAAGGUUUAACUAUUAUAUUUAGUUUGUUGAGUUAAAUAGGAGUUUAAAGUCAAGGUAAUAAUUCUUUGAUUUUCUAGGGGACGAUAAGACCCUAGAAGCUUAAUAAAUUGAAUACAUAUUAGCUAUAAGGUUAAAUUUAUUUUACUGGGGCGGUGACAGUAAAUAAACUACUGUAAAUUUAAUAGAUCCUUAUAAUAAAGAUAUAAUGGUUAAGUUACUCUAGGGUUAACAGUGUAAUAUACUUGGAGAGAUCUUAUUGAUAAGUAGGAUUACCACCUCGAUGUUGAAUUAAGAAUUCUUAAUGGUGCAGUAAUCAUAGUAGAAGGUUUGUUCAACC
rnacentral:rRNA from 1 species